UGGGGAAUCUUCCGCAAUGGACGAAAGUCUGACGGAGCAACGCCGCGUGAGUGAUGACGGCCUUCGGGUUGUAAAGCUCUGUUAAUCGGGACGAAUGGUUCUUGUGCAAAUAGUGCGAGGAUUUGACGGUACCGGAAUAGAAAGCCACGGCUAACUACGUGCCAGCAGCCGCGGUAAUACGUAGGUGGCAAGCGUUGUCCGGAAUUAUUGGGCGUAAAGCGCGCGCAGGCGGAUUGGUCAGUCUGUCUUAAAAGUUCGGGGCUUAACCCCGUGAUGGGAUGGAAACUGCCAAUAUAGAGUAUCGGAGAGGAAAGUGGAAUUCCUAGUGUAGCGGUGAAAUGCGUAGAUAUUAGGAAGAACACCAGUGGCGAAGGCGACUUUCUGGACGAAAGCUGACGCUGAGGCGCGAAAGCCAGGGGGGCGAACGAG
rnacentral:rRNA from 1 species